rfam:Hordeum vulgare subsp. vulgare, WGS project CAJW01000000 data, contig: morex_contig_141819
AUGAUACUCCUUCUGUCGAGAAUUACUUGUCGCAAAAAUGGAUAAAAAUGAUUGUAUCUAGAACUAAAAUACAUCUAGAUACAUCCAUUCCUCACACAAGUAUUUUCGGACGGAGGGAGUAUAUG